GACGAAGGAUGCAAGCGUUAUCCGGAUUCAUUGGGUUUAAAGGGAGCGUAGGUGGCCUUAUAAGUCAGUGGUGAAAUCCUGUUGCUUAACAGCAGAAUUGCCAUUGAUACUGUAGGGCUUGAGUAUAGUUGCCGUUGGCGGAAUAUGACAUGUAGUGGUGAAAUACAUAGAGAUGUCAUAGAACACCGAUUGCGAAGGCAGCUAACGAAACUAUAACUGACACUGAGGCUACGAAAGUGCGGGAGUCAAACAGG
rnacentral:rRNA from 1 species